GCAUGUCAAGAGCUGACUCAGCUGGAAGAGUAAAGACCUGAUGAGACAUUUGUUAGAACAGGCCUGCUGGUCCUGUUCCUUUCCACAGCAGAACCUCAGGGAGUGCUUUGAGAGCCUCCCAGACUGCAGAAAGUCUGUUUUCAGUUUCUGAUGACUGACUCUGCAUUGGGUAAACUUCUGACUCUUCUGAAAGCUCCCUGGUAGAGACUCUGAGAGCAAAGGCCACCCAACAAAGGAAAAAAAUUGAGCAGAGAGAGAACGAAAUUAAUCACGUCAUUUGGAUUUUUAAGUACAUAUUAUAUAAAGAGAUUCUGCACAUUGAGG